GUUUUUGAAGUUUAAAUAUUGGAAGAACUUAUGCUGAGCUUUCAAAAACUUCUGCACAUCUUUAAGAAGGAAAGAGAUAAAUGGCAAAUAAGGGAAUAUGUUUGUCCAGAUUCACUCCGAUUCACUAAGGGCAGUGGCCACGUGUUCUUUUGAUGUCCCGUGAAAUCAAGCCGGUAACAGCUCUGGUCCAGCGGUCAUCUCCAAAUCGAAUUAUGUGUCCAGCCCAUAUGAUUUUUGACGCCUUGGCAAAUGAGACAGUGUCCCUGAUACUCGAUCGUCGAGGAGAAUGGUGAGAUCCUGGCGGUGAAUCCGUAAUACAGCUCGAAGAGGAUCCUGAUGUACUGAGUUUGAACUCCCUAUUUGGCUAGGACUUCGAUGACUGCUUCAGUCUCAACAGAAUCAAAGGCCUUCUUUAAAUCAAUGAACGAUAGACAGAGCGGCAUCUUGAACUCUCGUGAAACCUCAAUGAGCUUGGUCACUGUGUGGAUAUGGUCUAUCAUGCUGAAUCCUUUUUGGAACCCGGCUUGCUCUCAUGGUUGUCUUUCGUCUAGUGUUCGGCCAACCCUAUUCAGGAUGACUCGAGUGAACAACUUGUAGACAACGGACAACAGGCAGAUUGGGUGAUAGUUGCUGAUGUCAUGGAUGUCUCCCUUCUUGUACAACAGGAUGGUCCUACUGGUUUUCCAUUGGGACGGAACCUUGCAUUCAGACAGGUAGCGUGUGAAGAGCUGAGCCAAGGAACACCUGGCCACCUACCUACAAGAUGGUCAGACCCUUCUUCGUCAAGACCCUGAAUGAAGGGUUUGAGGCUCUUUGUGAUCCUGGAGUGAGGAGACACCACUGGGCUACACUACACAGGACAGGGACAAAUGGAGAUGUUACUGGCACCCGCUCGAGCAAAUCCUCAAGCAGCAGGAUGACAAGUGAUACAAGUGAUACCUUUUAGGGCAUCAGCUCUGUGGUCUGAAUAUAAAGGGAGAUGAAAUAAAGGAGAUAAUAAAAAAAAAGAGCCCCAGCAGCCAAAGACCUCCGAAACCCAGCCACAGCCAUGCCCAAGGCCCCUUUCCACACAUUUGGAUGAGCCUCGCGCAUGAAGGAACUGGCAGAGGAACCCAGGUGUGCAGGACCCGGGACUGAGAUCUCCAAGCCUACUCAGAUUCGGACUGGGUCUCCUCCACCUAGUCCCCUUAUUUUCUAGUAGCUUGGCAGCCACACCCACAAACUGCCCCUGGCGCUGUGUAAUCCCAUCAAUGACCAACAUCCAGAGAGUAUAGAGCCUAGUUCUCUCUCUCGGAGAACCUGGCAAGCUAGAGUUUCCUGCCAGCACUGGAGAACCAGGCAAGUUCCCCGUGGCAUAUUUAUAUGCCAAAAAUAGUAACAAUGAUGGGUGUUAUUACCUGACCUGAAAGAGCCUCCAAUGUAGCACCGUUGGGAAGGGCGAGUAAAGAGAGGCUGCUAAAAUCUCAGGGUGAGGAUGAAUGGAGACGUUACUGGGCCCACUCGAGAAAAUCAAUGAUCAACGGGAUGACAGUGACAGUGAAUAAAAAAAGAAAGUUUACAGUUAAUAAAAAGAAGAAAGUUGCUUGAUAGUUUUCCAGUUUUAUAGUUACACAUAGUAUAAAAUAACAAAUCUUGACUUAAUUACUCCUUUCUAAAGAAACCUU